rnacentral:piRNA from 1 species
UAGAACUCUGCUGUUUCCCAAUCCAGUGUU